AUGCACGCUAGCAGGAGAGAUUCUGCCAGACAAUGUUUCAAGAAGAGAUUUCAGCAUUUGAUCAAUGUUGGUUUUGGCACAAGCUUUGGUACGUCAUCGAAAGUGUCUUUUUUUGGACAUUCUCUUCCUUCUUCGUUUUCAAGUCUGGUCCGGGAGAGGGAAACCCAGCCCCAGCGACCUGCAGAAAGAGGCGGCUUUGGCUUCCGUCACGUUGAGUGGUGCGGGUCCAUCAGAAGCUCCAAGGACACCCGUAAGGUAAGCGUUCCUCCCCGCUCUGGAUGUGCGCCUGUUGACCUGAUGCGUUCACGCCCUUUUUUGUUUAAUCACAGUGUGCAGACUGCUUAUUCGAGGGCACCUUCCCUCACAGCCUUGAGUGGUUCCACAUAACCAUCACCAGUUCCUUGGUCUCUCUGCUCAGUCAUUCCUGUGCCUCAUUAAGCAGACUGUGCGUGUAAUUCAUCCACCUUGAACACUGACUCGGCAUCUACUUGGCUAGCUGUUGUGUUGCACCUUUGUUAUUACAAAGAAACAAAUUUAAACAUUAGAAUGGUGCACAUGUAUAGUAAUGAAAUGCUUAACAUUCUGCCCGUGUCGGAGUAGAUCUUAAAGCUAAACUGAACGUCCACGUGCCACUCACGUCAGGAAAGGCAGAGGUGGCGUUUGAUGAUUUUGCCCUGUAUGCCCAGAGGACACAUGGUUGUGACCUUAAUAAAAACGAUGUUUCCUGUAUGACA
rnacentral:lncRNA from 1 species